UACAGAGGUCUCAAGCGUUGUUCGGAUUCAUUGGGCGUAAAGGGUGCGUAGGCGGCGCGGCUGAAGAUCGGGUGUGAAAUCUUGGAGCUUAACUCCGAAACUGCAUUCGAUACUGCCGUGCUUGAGGACUGGAGAGGAGACUGGAAUUUACGGUGUAGCGGUGAAAUGCAUAGAUAUCGUAAGGAAGACCAGUGGCGAAGGCGGGUCUCUGGACAGUUCCUGACGCUGAGGCACGAAGGCCAGGGGAGCAAACGGG
rnacentral:rRNA from 1 species